rnacentral:rRNA from 1 species
CAAGUCGAGCGAGGCGGCCCGCAAGGGUCAGUCGAGCGGCGAACGGGUGAGUAACGCGUGGAUUAUCUGCCCUGAGGUGGGGGAUAACCCGGGGAAACUCGGGCUAAUACCGCAUAUGACCGUGAGGUCAAAGGGGGGUCGCAAGAUCUCUCGCCAUAGGAGGAGUCCGCGUCCGAUUAGCUAGUUGGUAGGGUAAUGGCCUACCAAGGCGACGAUCGGUAGCCGGCCUGAGAGGGUGAUCGGCCACACUGGAACUGAGACACGGUCCAGACUCCUACGGGAGGCAGCAGUGGGGAAUUUUGCGCAAUGGGCUAACGCCUGACGCAGCAACGCCGCGUGGAGGAUGAAGGUCCUUGGAUUGUAAACUCCUGUCAGCAGGGAAAAAGCAACCUGACCUCAUACGUCAGGAAGUUGAUUGUACCUGCAGAGGAAGCCCCGGCUAACUCUGUGCCAGCAGCCGCGGUAAUACAGAGGGGGCAAGCGUUAUUCGGAAUUAUUGGGCGUAAAGGGCGCGUAGGCGGCCUGACAAGUGGAUGGUGAAAUCCCUCGGCUUAACCGAGGAACUGCCAUCCAGACUGUUUGGCUUGAGACCGGGAGAGGUGAGUGGAAUUCCCAGUGUAGCGGUGAAAUGCGUAGAUAUUGGGAGGAACGCCAGUGGCGAAGGCGGCUCACUGGACCGGUACUGACGCUGAUGCGCGAAAGCGUGGGGAGCAAACGGGAUUAGAUACCCCGGUAGUCAACGCCGUAAACGAUGAGUGCUUGGUGUAGCGGGUAUCGACCCCUGCUGUGCCGAAGUCAACACAUUAAGCACUCCGCCU